CGGCGAACGGGUGAGUAAUACAUGGGAACUUACCUCUUACUCAAGGAUAGCCCACUGAAAAGUGGAUUAAUACUGGAUAGUCCCUUCGGGGUAAAGAUUUAUCGGUAAGAGAUUGGCCCAUGCUCUAUCAGCUUGUUGGUGAGGUAAAGGCUCACCAAGGCUAUGACGGAUAGCUGGUCUGAGAGGAUGAUCAGCCACAAUGGGACUGAGACACGGCCCAUACUCC
rnacentral:rRNA from 1 species